GAUGAACGCUGGCGGCGUGCCUAAUACGUGCAAGUCGAGCGAAUGGAUUAAGAGCUUGCUCUUAUGAAGUUAGCGGCGGACGGGUGAGUAACACGUGGGUAACCUGCCCAUAAGACUGGGAUAACUCCGGGAAACCGGGGCUAAUACCGGAUAACAUUUUGAACCGCAUGGUUCGAAAUUGAAAGGCGGCUUCGGCUGUCACUUAUGGAUGGACCCGCGUCGCAUUAGCUAGUUGGUGAGGUAACGGCUCACCAAGGCAACGAUGCGUAGCCGACCUGAGAAGGUGAGCGGCCACACUGGGACUGAGACACGGCCCAGACUCCUACGGGAGGCAGCAGUAGGGAAUCUUCCGCAAUGGACGAAAGUCUGACGGAGCAACGCCGCGUGAGUGAUGAAGGCUUUCGGGUCGUAAAACUCUGUUGUUAGGGAAGAACAAGUGCUAGUUGAAUAAGCUGGCACCUUGACGGUACCUAACCAGAAAGCCACGGCUAACUACGUGCCAGCCGCCGCAGUAAA
rnacentral:rRNA from 1 species